rnacentral:ncRNA from 1 species
GCCAUCUCCUUGGGGUGCCCAUCCGGGCUGAGAGGUCUUUUCGAGACCAACCCAUCGAACCUGAUCCGGAUCAUGCCGGCGGAGGGACUGCGAGAUGACGAGCG